UUGCAGCCAAUAAGCCGACCGUGCUCUUUUCUACAUGGGGGUCUGGCGUGUAAUGGCUGCAAAGAGCAGUCUCUCGGUAGUGUGUGCAGCCUGUUGCCUGUAAGCGUUGCCCUAAUGGACCUUGGAACGGCC
rnacentral:snoRNA from 1 species